rnacentral:lncRNA from 1 species
CCCAAAUUACAGUAUUUACUCCAUCUUGGAUAAAAGUUUACAACAAACUAUACUAGUUUAAUCAAUCCAAAUGACAAUAUUUACUCCAUCUACAAUAUAAUAAGAAGAUUAAAAUCAAUAACCAAGAACAAACAAGUGCAGUAAUAAAUUUUAUUCUUCGCAUUUUGCCUAUUGCACACAUUUUCUCCAUCUCUUGCUCCAUCCCGUUAAUCUUUCGAAGUAAUCCAAGGAUUAUUUGUUUUGAUCUGUCACACAUUGGAGGAGCAUACCAAGCAAAAAAUUGACAAGCAUUCCUCUGUAAACAAAGAAGACAUCAAUUUUAUGUCCAAGUAAAUAGAAUGGAAGAGAUAUAAAAAAUAAUUGAAACCCUAACCCACUAACUUUUCCAUAAUUCGGACAUGAUAAAAACCUUCUUCUUGGGUUUGAAUCGGUCCAUGAUGUUUUAGUUGAUUUUCUCGAUGUUAUGUUACUGAAUUAAAAAAAGCAUAUGAUAAAGAUAAGCAAUUCACAAAAACUACUACAUAACGAUAAAGUAUUGAUUUAGAAAAGUUGCACAUAGAAUAAUUGAAAUGCAGUUCAUAUGACCAAUAGUAGACUAAACACAUCUCUUUUGGCAAAUUCUCCAAAGAGAAUUUCUGCAUCAUCAACACCAUCAAUACUAGAAUACAUUUUCAAAACUGAAUUGUGUACAGACUGAUUAAUCAAAAGCCCAUUUUUAAAAACAUUUGAAAGAAGUUGUCUUCCUCCAUAAACAUAAUCACAACACCCCUGCAACAUGAUCAUCACCGCCACGUAAUUGGGUUCAAACAUGCAUUGAUUAAUAUAAAAGCACCUAAAACAUUUCUUUCACAAACAUAACUAGAAAUCAUUGAUGUCCAAGAAACCAAAUCUAUGUUAGGCAUUUCAUCAAACACUUGACAAGCAUAACCAAAAACCCCACCUUUCACAUAAACAUCAAUCUUCGUGUUGCAAAUAUAUAUAUAUAUAUAUAUAUAUAUAUAUAUAUAUAUAUAUAACCUUUGUAUUACCUUGCUGAUCAAACUACUAGCUAGCUAGUACUUAAAAUAGUUAUUUUGCGUAAUGGUAUGAUUCAUAUAUAUUAUACUUCCUCCAAGUUGGCUGUAGAAUUUACACUCGCAUGAAAUACAGCCAGCCCAGUCGGUUCUAUUUUUCAUAAAAUAGAGCCAGCCCAGUUACUUUAUUAAGGCAUGUUUGCAGUAGUACACUAG